GUGAGGGCGAUCUGGCUGCGACAUCUGUCACCCUAUUGAUUGCAGAGUUGGUUCGGCUGAUCUGGCUAGCUAGGCGGGUGUGCGUCCCUCCCGAAGCUGUGUGCUCGGUCAAAGAGGGUGGGCUUCCCCGAAUAGAGAUGGACUGGCCUUUGGUCGAGGGUAUACAAGUAGCUGCUAGAACCUCCAAACAAGUUCUCAAAAUGUUUUUGAUGAUGGUGGUGACCUAGAAUCUUAAUAUUCCUUCUCUGGA
rnacentral:snRNA from 1 species